rnacentral:rRNA from 1 species
UCUCCGUAGGUGAACCUGCGGAGGGAUCAUUACACAAUAACAAGGCGGGCUGGACACCCCCCGCUGGGCACUGCUUCACGGCGUGCGCGGCGGGGCCGGCCCUGCUGAAUUAUUCACCCGUGUCUUUUGCGUACUUCUUGUUUCCUGGGUGGGCUCGCCCGCCCUCAGGACCAACCACAAACCUUUUGCAAUAGCAAUCAGCGUCAGUAACAACGUAAUUAAUUACAACUUUCAACAACGGAUCUCUUGGUUCUGGCAUCGAUGAAGAACGCAGCGAAAUGCGAUACGUAGUGUGAAUUGCAGAAUUCAGUGAAUCAUCGAAUCUUUGAACGCACAUUGCGCCCUUUGGUAUUCCAAAGGGCAUGCCUGUUCGAGCGUCAUUUGUACCCUCAAGCUUUGCUUGGUGUUGGGCGUCUUUUGUCUCCAGUUCGCUGGAGACUCGCCUUAAAGUCAUUGGCAGCCGGCCUACUGGUUUCGGAGCGCAGCACAAGUCGCGCUCUUUGCCAGCCAAGGUCAGCGUCCAGCAAGCCUUUUUUUUCAACCUUUGACCUCGGAUCAGGUAGGGAUACCCGCUGAACUUAA